rnacentral:rRNA from 1 species
UGGGGAAUUUUGGACAAUGGGCGAAAGCCUGAUCCAGCAAUGCCGCGUGUGUGAAGAAGGCCUUCGGGUUGUAAAGCACUUUUGUCCGGAAAGAAAUCCUUGGCUCUAAUACGGUCGGGGGAUGACGGUACCGGAAGAAUAAGCACCGGCUAACUACGUGCCAGCAGCCGCGGUAAUACGUAGGGUGCAAGCGUUAAUCGGAAUUACUGGGCGUAAAGCGUGCGCAGGCGGUUUGCUAAGACCGAUGUGAAAUCCCCGGGCUCAACCUGGGAACUGCAUUGGUGACUGGCAGGCUAGAGUAUGGCAGAGGGGGGUAGAAUUCCACGUGUAGCAGUGAAAUGCGUAGAGAUGUGGAGGAAUACCGAUGGCGAAGGCAGCCCCCUGGGCCAAUACUGACGCUCAUGCACGAAAGCGUGGGGAGCAAACAGGAUUAGAUACCCUGGUAGUCCACGCCCUAAACGAUGUCAACUAGUUGUUGGGGAUUCAUUUCCUUAGUAACGUAGCUAACGCGUGAAGUUGACCGCCUGGGGAGUACGGUCGCAAGAUUAAAACUUAAAGGAAUUGACGGGGUCAUAGCUGUUUCCU